UCAAGUAAGCCUAGUAGUUGGGGUUGUCAAACAAAUGUGAGAAAAAAGUGCCUAGCAUAUAGGGAUGUUAUCCACAAUACCUCUAUAAAUAGAGUAGGAGGGUUGAGAAAUAAAUAAAAGUUGGGAGAGUGAGUUUCCCAUACUUUUUGAGUGCGUAUAGAUUAGUUGCACCAUGUAGUCACAUGAGGGAAUGGGAGGAAGGCAAGGAGAUUGAUUAAGUAAGUUAAAAGUGGACACGCACGUGCUAAUAUUGGUGUUAUUUCAAAUGGGAGAAAUAAGUUGGAAGCUAACCAACUACUUCUCGAAUAAGGACUCGACUAGUGUAAUAAACUUGAAAUUUAGGUUGAUCUACCUCCGUUAUUAGGUUUGGAAUGUAGAGGUGGUUUCCCCAUAUUGGCUUUUAGGUUCGCAAAUAGUUCUUCACACUUAUUCAUCUACACGAUAUUUGUCUUCCUUCCUUUUUAAUCCUUAAGGAAAAGGAGGCACUUGUUUAUUGCUCAUGCGAUGAACCUAUUCAAUGCAUGUACUCGCCCUGUUAAUCUCUACAUUUUCUUCAUAAUUCGUCGUGGUUUCAAUUCUAGCAAAGAUUGAAUUUUUUAAGGAUUUGUUUCGACCUCUUGCUCAAGGUUUAUGACAUUAUUGACAUAUUUGUGUGAUUUUUACGUAUCCGGCCUCCUUAGUGCAACCAAGAACUUUGCACUCAUGGUUGGUGCAGAAGUUGGGCAAAAAAUGGUACCUAGGGCAACAACUCAAAAAACCUGAAUUUAUUGUCUAUUGUUUUGGACCUCUUUCUUGUGUGUGUGUGUGUGUGUGUUUUUUUUUUUUUUUUUACUACAAGCAAUAAUUUAUUUUAAAUUAAUCUAAACUACGGGGAAUGGAUUCGAACUUGGGUGCAGAGUGGGGAGCACAUUCUCUCUAACCAACACGGCUAAGUCCAUGUCUAAGUUUUUUUUUGUUUUUUUUGGUUUUUGUGUGUGUGACAAACAUUAGGAUAUUUCGAAACUAUAUUUACAACGCGCCAACAAACUCACAACUAAGUUUUACCACCAAAAUAGCGCUAAACACAAAUAGAUAUCAAACUCAUCACACACACACACAUAUAUUAUCAUCGUCAUCCAUGUGAGUUAAAUCUAAGACUUCCUCUAACCAAGUGAAAACAAAUACUACUAGACCUAAUGCUAGUUGAUUAGUUUAGGACUAUUCGAGGUUCUCAAUAAUUCCAUUGAUCAAAAUUUUUUCCCUUCCACAAUGCCUU
rnacentral:lncRNA from 1 species